rnacentral:rRNA from 1 species
CCUACGGGAGGCAGCAGUGGGGAAUAUUGCACAAUGGGGGAAACCCUGAUGCAGCGACGCCGCGUGAGCGAUGAAGUAUUUCGGUAUGUAAAGCUUUAUCAGCAGGGAAGAAACUGACGGUACCUGACUAAGAAGCCCCGGCUAACUACGUGCCAGCAGCCGCGGUAAUACGUAGGGGGCAAGCGUUAUCCGGAUUUACUGGGUGUAAAGGGAGCGUAGACGGCGAUGCAAGCCAGAUGUGAAAGCCCGGGGCUCAACCCCGGGACUGCAUUUGAAACUGUAUAGCUGGAGUGUCGGAGAGGCAGGCGGAAUUCGUGGUGUAGCGGUGAAAUGCAUAGAUAUUACGAAGAACCCCAGUUGCGAAGGCAGCCUGCUGGACGAUGACUGACGUUGAAGCUCGAAAGCGUGGGGAGCAAACAGGAUUAGAUACCCGAGUAGUC